CAUACUUACAUACACACACAGACAUACUGACACACAAAGACAUGCUGACACACACACACAGACAUACUGACAUACACACAGACAGACUGGCACAUACACACAGACAGACAUUAAAACAUUCACAGAUACAUACUGACACACACAUACACUGACACACAAAUAUAUCCUGGCAGACAUACUGACACACACGUACACACACACACAGAGACAUACCUACAUACACACACACAGACAUACUGGCAUACACACAGACAUACUGACACACACACACACACACACACAGACAUACACACACAGACAUACUGGCAUACACACAGACAUACACACACACACACAUACUGGCAUACACACAGACAUACACACACACACAGACCUACUGACAUACAUUUAGCCACCCUCCAGGUUCUUACCUUUUCCUGG